CUUGUUUUGGCAAGUAAAAUAUAAUGUUUUAAACUUGUGUUUCUGACAUACUUAUGACAGUUGGAAACACAGUAAUCUAAACUAAAGUAAAUAAUGUAAAGGGGAUCUUUUUAUUGUAUGAACAAAGAUAAAGUCUCUGCUUUGAACAGAACACUGAAGCACUCAUACACCACAUGUUUAAGAGAACAGACAGUUGGUGAGCUAUUUGUUUUUAACACUACUGUAAUGAUUCUGACAAUAAAUCAUCAUUUCACAUAUCCAAACAGUUAUCCUUUCAUUCACGCAAAGGAAAGAAUGCUGGAAAAUUAAAGCUAAAAGAGGCAGAAAAGCGUUUCUAGAAGGGCAGCAGCCUGUUAUUUAAACUCCUUCAUAUGAAAGGUCAUUUGUGUAGAGCACUAUCAGUCAACACACCCCUCAAAGCUCAGGAUCAUGCAGACAAUUUGGAGAGUGAUAGGUGGGAGAGUGGGAGUGUUUGGACAUACCUUGUAGCUUCAAAUCCUACUUCAGACUUGAGCUAUUAGUCUUAGGCUAAUGAAAAUAAUUGUCUGCCCUUUGUAUAUCUUCAACAUUAUUGUUUUAAGGGCUGACUCCACUACAGCUCAAAAUGCAGUAUUGAAACCUAUCAACAUAAUUGAAAAUCUCCCACCCUUGAUGAAAGCAGUCAACAUUAGCAGAAGAAUCACAGAAAUUGGUAAAGAAAUGAAGUUCCAUAGACAUGAUGAUAACUUUUUGAAACUCUCACUUGACAUUACUGAACAAAUGCCACAAAGCUGACAAGCAGCUUCUAUGUCCACCUAAAGGCAAGUAGGACUGAAUUUGUGGUAUUGAGGUUAUCGUGUUUGGAAAGUUUCUUUCAGCUGAGUCAUGAGUUAGUUCCACUCACAUCUAAAUAAAGAGAAUCCUUUUCCCAAAAGGAUAUAAAAAAAGUCCAGUCAGGGAGGAAAUUCUCUCAAGAGGAAAGUAAAGAACUCCAAACUGUGUUAAGCAAAAAUAAAUUGUUAUAAGAACACAAAACUUUGAAAAUUUGACCCAAUGAAAAGAUUAAAAAGUGUAUUUGUUUCAUCUACAGUAUAGAUUGAAACCAAAAAGUUGCUAUAUCUAGAAUGAUAUUACAACCUCUUGUACACUGCAACAAAAAAAAUGAAAUAUUAUAAAGAAAACAAAAACAUGUUAACGAUCAUGUAAGCUUACUCCUGGGACAAGGAGCUUACUCUGCAAGCAACCUGUUGACAAAUUUCCAUUAUUAGAUCCUUUUAUCGAAAAGUUAUUCAUGCAACUUUCAUAAAUUGCAAGACUAUAGAAUCACAGAAUAUUCUGAGUUGCAAGGCACCCAUAAGGGUCAUCAAAGUCCAACUCCCAGCCUGAACAGGACAGUCACAAGAAUCACACCAUGUACCUGAGAGCAUUGUACAAGUGCUUAUUAAACUCUAUCAGGUUGGUGCUGUGAUCACUUCCCUGGGGAGCCUCUUAAUAUCUUUGACCCUUGUUAAGAAUUGGGUAUUGAUCUAGAUAAAUUUCUAUGACCUCUGUCCCAGUUUAAUGGUACACACUGUUUAUCAUUCUGGUGGCUUGCACUAUCUUAUAACCUCAGUUCAGACUAUUAAAAUGGCAGUUACCUGACUCCCCGGGAGCUUCCUCAGGAAGUGAAGAAGUGUUCUUUUUACUGGUAGGUAAAAAGAACACAAAUACAGACCCACAUAUCUUCUCUUCUAGGAAUCUGUAGCUCUCUUACCUUUAUUAUGAAACAGGAUAUGAUUAUUGUUUUCUUACUCAAAAGGAUCAAAUUUGGUAAGAAGACUGGGCACUGAUGUAAAGUACCCCAUCUACAAACUUAUCUACCACAGGUGUCAUUCAUAUCCUCUUCGACCCCAUACUCAUAAAUCUCCAUGACAAUGACUUCUGGAAUGCAAAACAGCUUAAUUUGCAGUAACUGCAGAAUCUGCAGAGGACUUGGGCAUCUCAUUUUAAUGCACUCAAAUAAUAGAAAAGAGAAAUGGUUCACCUGACAGCUUCCUGAUACAGGGACACUUCGUAAGACAACAUUUGCAGUGAAGUUCCACCCGUUGUUUGUUUUUCUUCUUUUUCAGCUAAAACGUGUAUGGAGAAAGAAGACUUAAAAUCUUUUCUCUUCAAAAUUAAUUAAAAUACUGUUAUUAAGAAAAUGAUAAGAAGAGUGAAAUCCUCAUCUGAAAAUAUGUGCUGAAAUUAGGAGAAUAAAUAAAAUUAGAAGAAAUUAGGAGAAUAAGUAAAAUCUCUGGAGAAAUGUUACACCUGCUUUCAGUGUGUCAAUGCAGCCCUACUCAUAGAGACUUUCGGUAUUUUCAUAGUGUGCCAAUCAGCUCAAAAGUAGAACUAUUUGUUUUUAUUCUUCAAGAGAGAUAUGCAAAACAAUUCUGAAGUCCUAUUUUACUAAUAUAAGACAAUGAAAAUACAAUAUUGAUAACGUAGUAAACUCUACUAUAGAGAUAUGAAAAUCAGCACAUGCCUAAAACUUGUAACUAUAGUACUCUUAACAGCAAUAUUAUUGCAUGUAGCUUUUGGCAACUGCAUUUGUUAUUUUUCAAGCAAAGCUGGCAACAACUCAAAGGCAUGGAAACAUUGGGCAAACUCCAGCAGCCCCUUUCUUAGGCAAGAUGUCUAUUUAAAUGAAAGAUUUAACCUGCCUUUUAAAAGGAUAAAAAUGAAUUACAAAUAGAGUAUCUUAAACUCACUGCAAAAUAGGAUGGUCUUCUUGCUUGCAGUAUUUAAUGUUUUGAUUUCCCAUUCAUUGUUGAGGCUGUAACGAGCAUCAGUUAUUACAUGGUGGCUCAGUUCCAACAUAAAUCAUGUAACCUCCUCCUCUUUAUUGAUUUAUAUUAUCAUUUAUAGAUGGCACUCAUUGUCUUUAUAGGGCCUGAUAUCUCACAUUAAUUAAUUUCAAAUUAAAAUAAACAAUGAAAUGCUGAAAUAUUUUGCCUAAUGCCUACAUUCAGUUUAGACCUCAUAUCACUGUCAUUCUAGAAAUGUUAACUAGACAAACCAAAUUAAACCGAAUAAAUAAACACAGCAAAAAAAGAAGAGCAGAGAAUGCAUGUACUCAAUCUUGAAAUUACUAUUGAUCGGGUUUAUCAAAUUAUAGUGUCAAUACUGUAUCAGAUAUAAAUCUAUUUGUGCAGUAGUACUAUAUGUAACCCUAUAUAUCUCAGUGGUAUCUUUCUUAUGAAAAUAUUUGAAUGAUUGGAGAACAUUAUAUUUUAUUUUCCCAUCUCCAAGAACUCCAUGUUUGUAUGUUUGUCAAUGCACAGUAAGUUGUUCUCUUUUUUUCCCCUCUGAGAAGACAAAUUAGUACCUUACUUACAGUAUAUUAAUGUGAUUAUCAAUCAAUUCUGUUGAUUUAAUCCCAUAACUAUAUUUAGGGGUAAAUGAAAGGCAUUCUGAACAGUAGCAUAUGACUGCUAUGACAACAUUUUUCCAAGCUAAAAGGGCAAUCUUCAAUUCUUCAUAAAAUCUAUCAAUAUAUAAAUGUCAUAAAUACUAUAAAAAUACUAGAAUAUUACAGAAGUAUUGUAAUUAUCAUAAAAAUAGUCCUCAAGAGCAUUUUUCUAACUCAUAUAGUAAAUCAAUAUUUAAUUCAAAGUGGAAACUCUCACAUCACUUAAGCCUUUCAAUGAACAAUUUCUAUUAGUUUAAACUGAAAACCUCCUCUGGAUGUAUUCUGACAAUUUUAAGAAGUGUUGGAAGCAGCCACUCACUGUGCAGCUAAGCCUUAAAACACUUGUCUAAAGAAAUAUAACUGACUCUUUGCCCAUAAAUCUAGCCCUUGUGUUAAAUCUGGACAGAGAUUUAUGCCAAUAGACAUGCUGAAGCCAUCGUUGGAAAUAGAAGGUGGGAGAGAGCUCCCAGAUAAGCCACAGUGCUACUAUGGCUUGUCCAGUUCUUUGCAACCCCACCAUUUUCAUGGCUCUGAUAUCUUUUACUCUUCCUAUAGGCUAAGUGUGGGUGGACACUUCUGUAGUGGGACAUGCAGAAACUCCUUGUGAAAAAGAUGCAAUUGGGAGAAUUCUCACAGAAGCCCACACUUUACUUCCUCAAUCUUUUCACCCUUCCUAUGGGUCUCACAUGUCUCUCAGGGAGCAAUAGAGGCAGUUAGGGAAAAGAAAAUUUGGAAGCAAAUUAUGACAACAUGCCAGGCCAAGGAAGCUGUGGCCCCACCAACAACAGGGCUUAGUCCUGUCAGGAAGUCAUGAAGUCAUCCCAUGAGUCAGGGUCACAGUCCAGAUCAACAAGGCACAAUCACAGGCACUGGCAUUGCUGCAGAGUAGCUCAGUGCAGUCCUGGAUUCAACCAAAUGUGACUGGGACAAGUGUGAGAGACUCUACUUAACGCAGCUGCCAGCCUGGGAGGUGGAAACCCCUCCUGCAGCUUCCUCCAGCUCUUCCUCAAAGAGCUGCAAGGUCAGCGGAGGCUUCUUUAACAGAUCUCACCUGUCAGAGAUAUUCUCCCAAGAGGUAAAAGGAUAGUUCUCCUAACUGAUCCUAAGCCUUGAAGAAAAAUUCUGCCACAGGAUAUAUGAAGCCUCAGGGGAAAUUCUGUUGGAAAGGCAUCUUGUAGCAGCCUUUUCUGAGGUCAUCAACUUUCUCCCUCUCCCUGACGUAAACCUAGUCCUAACCCUAACCUGGUCUCAGAAGUUUUAGUAAAAUUUUCAUUUAAAAUUCUUGCUAGUCCUUGAAAAGUAAUAAUACUUUACAAAAAAAAAAAAAAAAAAACAACUAAAUAAAAGACUAAAGCUUCCUUACUUACUUUAACUGUAAUUAUUUUUUUAAAUGAAACAUAAUCUAUGUGUAUGGUUUCUGUGGGUCAUGCAUGGUAUUUCCUGGUAGGUUAUGGUGUACUUCCAGCAUUGUUCUUCCCUCAGAGUGAUCUCUAGAGUGCUUUUUAUGAGAUCUCAAUUUUCAGAAUAACACAAAUUUCCUGCUGUGAUUCAGCAGUUUCUUGUAAAGACCACAAUAUUGAUCUGAAUAUUUUAACUGCUUCUGCACAAUUAUGAGGUAUUUAGGAUAAAAAACAUUGUAAAAUUUAUUUCUAAUUUGGAUUUUGAAACCUCUGAUCAAAUUUAUUUUAUGUUCACAUGCUUUUUUUUUAUCACGAUGCUUCUUUAAUAAGUUAUUCCAAUUAUUUUACUUACCAUUGUAAAUAAUUUCCAACCAGUGAGUUAUCCUGACAUUACUCUAGGAAGAGAGACCAUAUUAAAUCUAAUUGAAAGCAAAGGAAGUUAAACCAAAAAUACAGCAUUAGGACCAAUUAGAAAUUCUGAUUUUACUUUGCCACAUUUUUGCAAUGUUGCAAAAUCAUUCUCUUGGACAUUUCCUUACUCCAUGUGAAUGAAUUGAAUUGUGAUGUCUAAUUGCUGUUGUUUUACUAAGUGACAAGGCAUUGUUUCAGUGACAAAUAUUCUGAUAGAUUAAAACUGUUAACACAUUAUACAAAUACUUCUCUGAAUUGUAUUUUUUGUUUCAGCAAACAUUAAUGCCAGUGAAGCUAGAUUGCCUCAGUAUCUGCAGAAAUGAAAACAAAAGAACUGUUAAGCUUUUCUGAAUCCAGCUCAUUUUAAAUCUAGCAUGAUGAAAGUAGAGACAGCUUUUUGUACUACUGAUCAACUCUAAAUAUUAUGAUUUUUUUUUCUCAAUAAGAACUGUCACAUGGUUACAGAUUUACAGCCUCAAGAAACAUAGCUUCUAUUUUGAAAACCUGGUUAGACACUUUAAACACCUGAGUGCUCACUCAGACUGAUAACUGAACAGACUUCACUUUGAACUCAGGACUACUCUUCCAAAUAAUGCUGAGCACAUACAAGCACUUGCAAGACUGAACCUUGCAUUUGGGGUUCUGGAACAGUUCAAUAUCUAGGUUUAGCUUUUCCUAAAGGAAAACUUAGUGAAGAUUAUUCAUUUUCAAUCAUAAGAUUAAGAAGAUUGCUUUGUUUCUGUUUGAACAAAAUGAUAUAUUUUAUCAUACAUCUAUUCUGGACUUCAGUAAAGCCUUUGACACAGUCCCUCACAGCAUCCUUCUCACUAAACUGAAGAGACACGGUUUCAUUGGGUGGACUAUUAGAUGGAUAAGGGUGGUCACAUCCAGAGGGUAGUGGUCAAUGGCUCAGUGUAUCAAUGUCCAUCAGUGACAAGUGGUGUCCCUCGGGAGUCUGUUAUGGACCACUGUUAUUUCAUUUCUUCAUUAAUGGCACAGACAAAGCAAUCAAGGGCAAUCUCAGCAUGUUUGCAGAUGAAAUCAAGCUGAGUAGUGUGGUUGACACACCUGAAAGAUGAGAUCCAUCCAGAGGGACCUGGAGUGGGUCCAUUGGAAUCUCAUGAGGUUUAACAAGACCAAGUGUGACGUUCCCCCUGCUCACAGCCCCCUGAAUUAUCAGGCUAGCCCAGAGAUCCGAGGCUUUGAGGGGAGGAAUAUCAGGACAAGGUAAAGAUUUCCAAAAGAGGCUCUUACCCCGAUGUAUGUUGGUGCAGCUCUCUUUAUUCUGUGACGUCCAAGAGGAGAGCGGGUCAAAAGAGGACGAACAGGAAAUGUCAGGGGUCUAUAUAGACUUUGGACAGGGUGGGCUUCUCUGGCUCUCCGCCAACCCCGUUGGAGCAGGAAGGAGGGUCCAGGGUUAUCUUGAUCAGAGUCACAGGGUCCCGGGGAAGGGGCAACAGAGUGCCCAUGAGCACGAUGUAACACAAGUGCUGGUGGUGAACCUGGGGCUGAACAACACAGGCUGGGGAUCAACAGACCCAGAGCAGCCCUGCCCAGAAGGACUUGGGGGUGCUGUGGGUAGAGGCUGGACAUGACCCAGCCAUGGGCACUCCGAGCCCAGAAAGCCAAACAUGUCCUGGGCUGCAUCCAAAGCAGCGUGGGCAGCAGGGCCAGGGAGGGGAUUCUGCCCCUCUGCUCUGCUCUGCUCUGCUGAGAGCCACCUGCAGGGCUGCAUCAGCUCUGGGGGACCCACUGGACACGAAGGACAUGGAACUGCUGGAGUGAGUCCAGAGGAGGGCUUUGGAGAUGAUCAAAGGGAUGGAGAAACUCUUCUCCAAGGAAAGGCUAGAUGAUCAGGUGUGUUCAGCCUGCAGAAGAGAAGGCUUUGGGGUGACCUAACUGUAGCCUUCCAGUAUCUGAAGGCGCCCUACAAAAAAGAUGGAGAGGGACUUUUUAUAAGGGUGUGUAGUGAUAAGACAAGGAAUGGCUUCAAAUUGAAAGACAGUAGGUUCAGAUCCGAUAUUAGGAAAAAGUUCUUUACUGUAAGUGUGGUGAGUCACUAGAACAGGUUGCCCAGAGAAGUUGUGGACGCCCCAUCCCUGGAAGUGCUCCUGGCAAGGCUGGAAGGAGUUCUGCGUUUCAUGAAAGGUAUCCCUGUCCACAGCAGGAGAGUUGGUGUUCCCUUUAAACCCAAGCCAUUCUAUGCUUCUAUAACAUACAUAUAAUUAACUCUAAAAUUUAUUUUUUAUACAGAAUUAAAAACGAAAUACAGGAAAAUAUAUAAUAUACAGACUAUAAAAAUUCUGUAAUUGCUAAGAUUAUUAAGCAGAGUAUGAAAGAAAGCCUCGAAGCAUUCAUUUGAAAGUCCAGGUGAAUACAUGAAAGAAACCAUAUUAUUUUGUAUGACAUAUUCCUGAUGUGAGGGAGAACAAAAACACAUGGAUAUUGGCAGCAAAACUUCCCUUAAACUCACUUGUUUCAUUAUCAUGUCCUAAACAGCAAAAUUUCAAUUAAAAAUAAUUCUUUUAUUAAAAAUAAUUUAAUUAAAAAUAAUCUAAUUCUUUAAUUAAAAAGACUUAAAAUGAAUUCUUUGUUUCAUUUGGAUGCCUGACAGAGCAGUCAAGAAGGAAAAAAAAUGUCAGCAAGGAAAAAAAAAGAGAGAUAUUUCUCUGUUAGUAAACAGGAGUGAUUUCACAAUGGACCUAACAGAGGGUGAAGUAAGAAAUUGUUUGAUGGACUUACAGAAAGGAAAAAGAAAAGGUUAAAGAGACAUUAAGGACAUUUUCCUUCAAUCCCUGCUAUAAGAAUCUGAGAGAUGGACUGAUGUCCACAGUUCACAAAGUUCAAAGAUAUUUAUUUACCACAUACAUAUCCAGACCUCACUUUCAGAGAAGACAGUGAUACCAGUAGUAUGCACACAUAGAAAACCAUAUCUGUUUGUAAUACACUAAUAUUUUACACAGUGUGUUCCUACUGCCUGCAUUCAGUUGAUAUCUUGGUGGAGGUGCACAAGCUGGGAGUCAGACCCCCAAAAGGUACCUGUUUGAAGAUAUACCUACAGUGUAUAUCUUCAAACCGUAUAUAUACAUACAGUGUUACCUUGGCAACAGAUGCACAUGAAAGUUCUUAGAAGAGAUUUUUUCUUACAUACCAUUUUUUUUUCUCAGUGUUGGUUCUUUGUUAUAUAUAUGUUCAGGCUACAAACUUUAUCUAUCAAACUACAACUGCAAAGUUUAAACUGUGACUUUUUUUAUUCUUUUCUGCUUUCCAACAGCUUAUGAUUCACCAUUUGCUGAUGAAUGGAGAGACUGCUAACUACCUGGCAGAACAUGCUGCUCCACCAGAAAUAUAUAAACCUCUGCUUCACAGAUCAUUUACAUGAUCUUUUGAAGAAGGAAAAAGAAUUUUUUUUAGUAGUGAAGACAUGCCUAUACACAACUGCUCAUGGACAACUGCUUAAAUCAGAAGCCCCAGACUGAAAUUUCCCAAACACUUUGAUUUAACAUGUAUGUACACACAUGCUUAAAAUACAAAGCCGUACUAAAAAUUAAUUCUU
rnacentral:lncRNA from 1 species